CCGUUCCCAUUCCGAACACGACGGUUAAGCCUUUAGAAGCCGAUGGUACUGCACGGGAGACUGUGCGGGAGAGUAGGUGGUCGCCAGGU
rnacentral:rRNA from 1 species